rnacentral:sRNA from 1 species
CAUGUUUUUGCUUUUAUCAGCCUGGGAGCUAGGUCCCUGGAGACAAAAAUUUUAGAACAGUUAUGACUCUCUGGGAGUGUACUAAGGUUAGUCUGAAUCCUUCUGGGGAAUUCAGGUUUGAAGGAGUUAGAAGAGUGCUAACAUCACCAUCACUGUUACCUACCAAUGCCAUGCUCCCUGGGUGCAAGACCAAAGAUGUUCUUUGGUGUCUAGUCCCUUGUCUCAUGUCUAAUGUAACCUGCCAUUUUCCUUUACAGGUAGGAGCAACAGUGGGAAUACCCUCUGAGGAAUGCAGUAAUGUCCAUCAGUCACCUCUCACCCAGAGCCUGGCAAAUUCAGUCUCUUUCACAGAACCUAAAGCCAAGCCAGGUUCAAUGGGAAAUCCCACCUGUCCAAACACUGUGUGAGACACCAGAAUUAGAGGCCUGCAAGCCU